rnacentral:piRNA from 1 species
CAACACUGUGGUCUUUCCACUCAAGG